AGAGUUUGAUCCUGGCUCAGAGCGAACGCUGGCGGCAGGCCUAACACAUGCAAGUCGAGCGCCGUAGCAAUACGGAGCGGCAGACGGGAGAGUAACACGUGGGAACGUGCCCUUUGGUUCGGAAUAACUCAGGGAAACUUGAGCUAAUACCGGAUAAGCCCUUACGGGGAAAGAUUUAUUGCCAUUGGAGCGGCCCGCGUCGGAUUAGCUAGUUGGUGAGGUAAUGGCUCACCAAGGCGACGAUCCGUAGCUGGUCUGAGAGGAUGACCAGCCUCACUGGGACUGAGACACGGCCCAGACUCCUACGGGAGGCAGCAGUGGGGAAUAUUGGACAAUGGGCGCAAGCCUGAUCCAGCCAUGCCGCGUGGAUGAUGAAGGCCCUAGGGUUGUAAAGUCCUUUUAACGGGGAAGAUAAUGACGGUACCCGUAGAAUAAGCCCCGGCUAACUUCGUGCCAGCAGCCGCGGUAAUACGAAGGGGGCUAGCGUUGCUCGGAAUUACUGGGCGU
rnacentral:rRNA from 1 species